AGCGCUUUGUUUACACCCGUGGAGGGGUGUUGUCCCUAUUCUUGGUUACGCUGUGGAGCAAAAGAAUCCCCGCCUCUUCCACACAGCCCACUUUGCGCCGUCCCGCUGUUGCUACAUGGAGUUGAGGAGCGUAA
rnacentral:snoRNA from 1 species